UACGGGGGGGCAAGCGUUGUUCGGAAUUACUGGGCGUAAAGGCUCGUAGGCGGCCAACUAAGUCGGACGUGAAAUCCCUCGGCUUAACCGGGGAACUGCGUCCGAUACUGGAUGGCUUGAGUUUGGGAGAGGGAUGCGGAAUUCCGAGGUGGUAGCGGUGAAAUGCGGUAGGAAUAUCUGGAGGAACACCAGUGGCGAAGG
rnacentral:rRNA from 1 species